CGUUACGACUUCAUUGUUGAACACGAUGUGAAGGAACUCGGAGCUCACACGCUAGUCUGCACUGCAUUGUACAAUGAUGGUGAUGGUGAGCGUAAAUAUCUACCACAGUUUUUUAAGUUCAUGGUUGCAAAUCCACUUUCGGUCAGAACAAAGGUCCGAGUUGUGAAGGUAUGUUUUGCUGACUAAAAGCAGCCAACGAUAGUACAUUCUUAGAAG
rnacentral:misc_RNA from 1 species